CAGGGUGCCCAGUCAAAUUUGAAUUUCAAAUAAAGAAUGAAUUAUUUGUUUACUAUAUUAAUAAGUAUGCAAAACAUUCUAUGGGACAUCCUUAUGCUAAAUAAUGAUUUGUUUAUCUGAAAUUAAAUUUUACUGAGCAU
rnacentral:miRNA from 1 species